UACGUAGGGUGCAAGCAUUAUCCGGAAUUAUUGGGCGUAAAGAGUUUGUAGGCGGCGAAUUAAGUAGGGGGUAAAAUCUCCGGGCCCAACCCGGAACCUGUCUCCUAAACUGGUUUGCUAGAGGUAUGUAGAGGCAAGUGGAAUUUCCGGUGUAGGGGUAAAAUCCGUUGAGAUCGGAAGGAACGCCAAAAGCGAAGGCAGCUUGCUGGACAUACCUGACGCUGAGAAACGAAAGCGUGGGGAGCAAACAGG
rnacentral:rRNA from 1 species